GGAGGUGGGGCUUCUGGGUCCCAACUGGGGAGGUGUGGAGAUGUAAUGGAGGAGGGGACGUUUGCAGUUCUUAAGGAUGUAAGCGCUCAGCCUCUGCUCCAGCCGCCAUGCCUGCCUGGCUGCCAUGACAUGAUGGGCUUAUUACUCUCUGGGACCAUAAGCAUUUGGACAAUGUCUGCAGUCAUGGAAAUGUCAGAAUUCCUUCCCAGGUGCAGAAGAUUCUAGCUUCUUUGGCCAGUAGUAGAAUUACGCUCUCUACAAAAUCUGGUGGGUUCUCUGAAAGGGAGCCCAGAGCACACAUGGUGAGACUAUGACACACGGUGGAACAUUACACAGGCAGAUAUCCUGAAAGUCUUCAAUAAAGCCUACAGAUAAAGCCA